rnacentral:rRNA from 1 species
GACGAACGCUGGCGGCGUGCCUAAUACAUGCAAGUCGACCUUAGUGGCGGACGGGUGAGUAACAAGUGGGAAACUACCCAUCAGAGGGGGAUAACUACUGGAAACGGUGGCUAAUACCGCAUACUUUCGGAUGAACCCAUAUGGGAUUAGCUAGUAGGUGGGGUAAAGGCCCACCUAGGCGACGAUCUCUAGCUGGUCUGAGAGGAUGAUCAGCCACACUGGGACGGAGACACGGCCCAGACGCCUACGGGAGGCAGCAGUGGGGAAUAUUGCACAAUGGGCGAAAGCCUGAUCCAGCCAUGCCGCGUGUGUGAAGAAGGUCUUCGGAUUGUAAAGCACUUUAAGUUGGGAGGCGUUACCAACAGAAUAAGCACCGGCUAACUUCGUGCCAGCAGCCGCGGUAAUAC